UCACAUGGGGCAGCAGUUCAGCAAUGGUAAGGUAGUUUUCACUCCUCUUUUAGUUACUAUUUAGUCCAUCCAUGGAUGUUCAAUCCCAUGUGUGUCUUAUGUUACCCUUAUGAUUCACCUAACUUGAAAAGAAAUAAACCUGUUACAUAAAAAUCAA